rnacentral:rRNA from 1 species
CCUACGGGUGGCUGCAGUGAGGAAUAUUGCACAAUGGGGGUAACCCUGAUGCAGCGAAGCCGCGUGAGGGAAGAAUGCUUUAGGUGUUUAAAACUCUAUCAGCAAGGGAGAUAAUGCCGGUACCUGACGACGAAGCCCCGGCUAACGACGUACCAGCAGCCGCGGUUAUACGUAGGGGGCAGGCGUUAUCCGGAUUUACUGGGGAUAAAGGGGGAGUAGGUGGCAGGGCAAGGCGGAUGUGAAAACCCGGGGCUCAACCCCGGAAGUGCAUUUGAAACUGGCCAGCUGGAGUGCAGGAGAGGUAAGCGGAAUGCCUAGUGUAGCGGUGAAAUGCAUAGAUAUCAGGAGGAACACCAGUGGCGAAGGCGGCUUACCGGACCGCAACUGACACUGAGGCUCGAAAGCGUGGGGAGCAAACAGGAUUAGAUACCCUAGUAGUC